AUUGAACGCUGGCGGCAGGCCUAACACAUGCAAGUCGAGCGGAUGAAGGGAGCUUGCUCCUGGAUUCAGCGGCGGACGGGUGAGUAAUGCCUAGGAAUCUGCCUGGUAGUGGGGGAUAACGUCCGGAAACGGGCGCUAAUACCGCAUACGUCCUGCGGGAGAAAGUGGGGGAUCUUCGGACCUCACGCUAUCAGAUGAGCCUAGGUCGGAUUAGCUAGUUGGUGGGGUAAAGGCCUACCAAGGCGACGAUCCGUAACUGGUCUGAGAGGAUGAUCAGUCACACUGGAACUGAGACACGGUCCAGACUCCUACGGGAGGCAGCAGUGGGGAAUAUUGGACAAUGGGCGAAAGCCUGAUCCAGCCAUGCCGCGUGUGUGAAGAAGGUCUUCGGAUUGUAAAGCACUUUAAGUUGGGAGGAAGGGCAGUAAGUUAAUACCUUGCUGUUUUGACAUUACCAACAGAAUAAGCACCGGCUAACUUCGUG
rnacentral:rRNA from 1 species